AUUGAACGCUGGCGGCAUGCCUUACACAUGCAAGUCGAACGGUAACAGGUCUUCGGAUGCUGACGAGUGGCGAACGGGUGAGUAAUACAUCGGAACGUGCCCAGACGUGGGGGAUAACGAGGCGAAAGCUUUGCUAAUACCGCAUACGAUCUAAGGAUGAAAGCAGGGGACCGCAAGGCCUUGUGCGUUUGGAGCGGCCGAUGGCAGAUUAGGUAGUUGGUGGGAUAAAAGCUUACCAAGCCGACGAUCUGUAGCUGGUCUGAGAGGACGACCAGCCACACUGGGACUGAGACACGGCCCAGACUCCUACGGGAGGGAGCAGUGGGGAAUUUUGGACAAUGGGCGAAAGCCUGAUCCAGCAAUGCCGCGUGCAGGAUGAAGGCCUUCGGGUUGUAAACUGCUUUUGUACGGAACGAAAAGGCUCUGGCUAAUACCUGGGGCACAUGACGGUACCGUAAGAAUAAGCACCGGCUAACUACGUG
rnacentral:rRNA from 1 species